rnacentral:rRNA from 1 species
UACGUAGGGUGCAAGCGUUAUCCGGAAUUAUUGGGCGUAAAGAGCUCGUAGGCGGUUUGUCGCGUCUGCUGUGAAAACUGGAGGCUCAACCUCCAGCCUGCAGUCGAUACGGGCAGGCUAGAGUUCGGCAGGGGAGACUGGAAUUCCUGGUGUAGCGGUGAAAUGCGCAGAUAUCAGGAGGAACACCGGUGGCGAAGGCGGGUCUCUGGGCCGAUACUGACGCUGAGGAGCGAAAGCGUGGGGAGCGAACAGG